CGCUGGAGCGAGGGACGGGCCCCCGGCCGCAGCCCGCCGCCCCCCCGGCGCUCGGGAAAGGGCCGCGGCGGCAACAGGACGGGCAGGUUCAUAAAUCUCAGCCCUGGCAAGGCCGGCGGGAGCGCGCGCGGCUCUCCGGGGAGGCACGGCCCGCCACCCCCAACGUCCUCGGCCGCUGCGGCCGCCCUUCCCGGGCUCCAAAGUCCCCGGCAGCUUCGCUUCCCACCUCCCGGCCGCGGGAAUCGUCAUCCCGGCUCUCCGCAGACCCUGCUCCCCGGCAGCCGCUCGCGGCGAGAGGCCUCGGGACCAAAGGGCAGAGCCGGGCGCGGACCCGCCGGGGCUCCCCGCACGGAAAGGCACCGCGCUCCCCCCGCGAAGCCGGUCCCGAUGCUCCUCAACGCGAAUGAGACGGAGACGCCGGAGCAAAAGGAAGUGCUUCAGCAGCAAAAACCUCCGCGUGGAACCUGAACCUGGUCACAGUCAUGCCCUCGAAUAAUGAGAUAUUCUCGUGCUCUGCUGGAAUAACCGCCCAACGGCUUUUCCAAUCCAUUAGUUAUUCCGGAUCCUUCAACUUGUCACGGGGAAAARCCCAACAGCAGCAACCACGGACAACCCCAGCGGUGCUCGCGGCCCCGGAACCGGGCGUUUUGCCCCCGGAGCGCGGGGGGCUCCCACCCCGCGUCGCCCGAGGACUCCCGCACCCGCUCACCCUCUUUGUCAGCCUUGAAAACAGGAAGGAUUAGGGCCGUAGGUGUGCUGCGCUCAGCGCUCCGCGCGCUCGCCCCUCACCCCGCGCCAGCCCCGGCUCCGGGGCGCGACGGCGGGUCCCGUCUCC
rnacentral:lncRNA from 1 species